rnacentral:lncRNA from 1 species
UAAGGGCUUUGGUUUUGGGGGAGUGGAUCUGUAUUUUCUCAGGGUCUUACUGUGGAGUUUGUAUCAGGGUUGGCCAGAGUGGAUGCUGGCAGGGGUCAGGGAGGCCCUGGAUAAUCAAGAGAGAGACAGAGGGAGUUUCUAGAGUUUACUUUUUCUUUUUCUUUCUUUUCUUUUUUCUUUCUUUCUUUUUUUUUUUAAACAGAGUCUUGCUGUGUCACCCAGGGUGGAGUGCAGUGGUACGAUCUCAGCUCACUGCAGCCUCUGCCUCCUGGGUUCAAGCGAUUCUCCUGCAUCAGCCUCCCGAGUAGCUAAGAUUAUAGGUGCGCACCAUGACAGCCAGCUAAUUUUUGUAUUUUUAGAAGAGACAGGGUUUCUCCAUGUUGGCCAGGCUGGUCUCAAACUCCUGACCUCAAGUAAUCCGCCUGCCUCGGCCUCCCAAAGUGCUGGGAUUACAAGCGUGAGUCUGGCCAGCUUCCCUGAUUCUUAAUGCUGUUAGCCUAGUGCGGUGAUCCUCAGAGUCUGCUCCCUGGAACGGCAGCGUCAGUAUCACCUGGGAACCUGAUAGAAAUACAGAUUCCUGGACCUAAGCAAGACGACUGCGUCAGAAACUCCACAGGAUGACGUAGCACAAACGCCCUUGAUACAUGGGGGCCCCUCGACCUCAGACUUCCCAGCCUCCAGAAUGGUAAGAAAUCUCUGUUCUUUAUAAGUUAUAAAUCUCUGUUCUUUAUAAAUCUCUGUUCUUUAUAAGUUACCCAGUCUCAGGCAUUCUGUUACAGUAGCACAAAAUGGGCUAAGACACCACUGAACUGU